AGGAUUAACGCUGGCGGCGUGCACGAGACAUGCAAGUCGAACGGACACUUGGAGCUUGCUCUGAGUGUUAGUGGCGGACGGCUGAGUAACGCGUAGGUGACCUGCCCCGAAGUGGGGAAUAACUGCCCGAAAGGGUGGCUAAUACCGCAUGUGGUGAUGCGUUCAUUCGCAUCAGUAAAGCCGCAAGGCGCUUCGGGAGGGCCUGCGUCCGAUUAGCUCGUUGGUGAGGUAACGGCUCACCAAGGCGACGAGUCGGUAGGUGGUCUGAGAGGACGAUCACCCAGACUGGGACUGAGACACGGCCCAGGACUCCGUACGGGACGGCAGCGAGUACGGGUAAUUUUGCGCAAGUGGGACGAAAGUCCUGACGC
rnacentral:rRNA from 1 species